GAUGAACGCUGGCGGCGUGCCUAAUACAUGCAAGUCGAGCGAACAGACGAGGAGCUUGCUCCUCUGACGUUAGCGGCGGACGGGUGAGUAACACGUGGAUAACCUCCCUAUAAGACUGGGAUAACUUCGGGAAACCGGAGCUAAUACCGGAUAAUAUAUUGAACCGCAUGGUUCAAUAGUGAAAGACGGUUUUGCUGUCACUUAUAGAUGGAUCCGCGCCGCAUUAGCUAGUUGGUAAGGUAACGGCUUACCAAGGCGACGAUGCGUAGCCGACCUGAGAGGGUGAUCGGCCACACUGGAAGUGAGACACGGUCCAGACUCCUACGGGAGGCAGCAGUAGGGAAUCUUCCGCAAUGGGCGAAAGCCUGACGGAGCAACGCCGCGUGAGUGAUGAAGGUCUUCGGAUCGUAAAACUCUGUUAUUAGGGAAGAACAAAUGUGUAAGUAACUAUGCACGUCUUGACGGUACCUAAUCAGAAAGCCACGGCUAACUACGUG
rnacentral:rRNA from 1 species